UUUGUUGUGUAUGUGAUUUUCAGGUACAAGCCGCGGCAGACAAGGCGAGCUUGCGGCGUUUGGACGCGAAGAGCAAAGCAACAUCGGACGAAAUGUGCAAAAGCUAGCGGUAGUUGAUAUCGGCGAAUCAAAGCAUCCUGCCAGGUUUUUUCAUUGGGAGUUGGUACCUCCCAGCCUCCUUUUUUGACUCUGUACACCCUUUUAUGUUUUCUAUCUAAGCACCAUGUAUGUGGUUUACUUUGUCAAUUCCUAGC
rnacentral:lncRNA from 1 species